AUGUCGGCGGGUCAGAGAAGGAAGACGGCGUGCGUCACCGGAGGGAGCGGCUACAUCGCCUCAGCGCUCAUCAAGCUGCUCCUUCAGAAAGGCUACGCUGUCAAGACGACCGUCCGAGACCCCAAUUCCCAUCUCAUGGCCUUGCAAGCGCUUGGCCCCUUGGACAUCAUCCGUGCCGAUCUGAGUGAGGAAGGCAGCUUCGACCAAGCUUUUUCUGCCUGCGACUACGUCUUCCUCGUCGCCGCUCCUCUGAACCUGAUGUCGGGAGAUCCUGAGAGAGAUCAGGUAGAAGCAACUGUUCAAGGAACGCUCAACGCCAUGAGGUCGUGCGCGAGGGCAGGGACGGUGAAGCGCGUGAUCCUGACGUCGUCGACCGCCGGGGUGUCCAGGAGGCCGCUGCAGGGCGACGGCCACGUGCUGGACGAGAGCUCCUGGUCCGACGUCGAGUACCUCAGGGCCAACAAGCCACCAACCUGGGGGUACUCGGUGUCCAAGGUGCUCGCUGAGAAGGCGGCGAGCGAAUUCGCGGAGGAGAACUGCAUCGACCUCGUCACCGUGUUGCCCGUGUCCACCUUGGGCGCCGCGCCGGUCUCCAAAGCAGCGUCCAGCGUUCCCGUCACCCUCUCCUUGUUGUCCGGUGACGAGGCGCAGUUGGCCAUCUUGGAAGGCUUGCAGUCCGUCACCGGCACCGUGUCGAUAGCCCACGUGGAGGAUCUCUGUCGCGCUGAGGUGUUCGUCGCCGAGGACGAGUGCUCAUCUGGGAGGUACAUCUGCUGCAGCCACAACGCCACCGUCCUACAACUCGCUCGUCUCAUGGCACAGAAAUACCCACGAUACAAUGUGAAUGCCGAUCGAUUUCGCGGGUGCCCUGAGCAACCAAAAGUGUGCCUCUCAUCUCAGAAGCUCGUCGGGGAAGGGUUUGUGUUCAGGUACCAGAGCCUAGGUGAGAUUUUUGAUGACCUUGUUGAGUACGGCAGGGCCACUGGGAUUUUACUCCACUGA
rnacentral:rRNA from 1 species